AAACCAACAGGGAUUGCCUUAGUAACGGCGAGUGAAGCGGCAAAAGCUCAAAUUUGAAAUCUGGUAGUUUCACUGCCCGAGUUGUAAUUUGAAGAACGGUUCUUGUAGCGCGGCCUUUGUCUAUGUUCCUUGGAACAGGACGUCACAGAGGGUGAGAAUCCCGUGAGAUGGGGGCAGCGCUGCUUGUAGGGCCAGUUCGACGAGUCGAGUUGUUUGGGAAUGCAGCUCUAAGUGGGUGGUAAAUUCCAUCUAAAGCUAAAUAUUGGCGAGAGACCGAUAGCGAACAAGUACAGUGAUGGAAAGAUGAAAAGAACUUUGAAAAGAGAGUGAAAAAGUACGUGAAAUUGUUGAAAGGGAAGGGCAUUUGAUCAGACUUGGUGGGGGAGUACUGGCGUCCACUUGUUGGGCGUUUACUGCUGCUCUGCUGGGCCAGCAUCGAUUCGUGUGGCAGGACAACCGGCUGGGAACGUGGCUGCAUUUUUGCAGUGUUAUAGCCCAUCCUUCUGCUGCCUACAUGGAUCGAGGACUGCGUCUUUGACUAGGAUGCUGGCGUAAUGAUCUAAUGCCGC
rnacentral:rRNA from 1 species